AUUGAACGCUGGCGGCAGGCCUAACACAUGCAAGUCGAACGAGUGGCGGACGGGUGAGUAAUGUCUGGGAAACUGCCCGAUGGAGGGGGAUAACUACUGGAAACGGUAGCUAAUACCGCAUACUAUCGGAUGUGCCCAGAUGGGAUUAGCUAGUAGGUGGGGUAACGGCUCACCUAGGCGACGAUCCCUAGCUGGUCUGAGAGGAUGACCAGCCACACUGGGACUGAGACACGGUCCAGACUCCUACGGGAGGCAGCAGUGGGGAAUAUUGCACAAUGGGCGCAAGCCUGAUGCAGCCAUGCCGCGUGUAUGAAGAAGGCCUUCGGGUUGUAAAGUACUUUCAGCGGCGAGGCGUUACCCGCAGAAGAAGCACCGGCUAACUCCGUGCCAGCAGCCGCGGUAAUUC
rnacentral:rRNA from 1 species